AGAUAGCUAAGUACAUGGAAAACAGUCACAAAUAUGGUGCAGCGAGUUUGUGCCAAACAUAUCAGGCCAUCCAUCAUACCUAUCAUAAGCUGUUUUUGGGCUAGCAGAGAGUGCAGAACGUGAUAGUGACAGGCUGUAAGACAGAAGCCUGUCUAGUCCAUCACAAGCUUGUGGAAUAGCAGAUUUCUUGACAGGAGCCUGUCUGCUGUGGGGUGAAGCCGAAAAACACCUGAAAUUGAGAGUGUGAAAGUGCGUCACAGAACAAAUAAAAUUGGUACGAGGUGGCAAGCCAGUCAAUCUUCGGACCAACCUCAUGAUGGUUAAUGACAAUAAGUGCCCCUUGUUGAUGAUUUUGCAUGCUGCCAUGUUGUCACAGAGACAUCGGAUAGCCUUCCCUGUCCAAAGAUGACCCCAAGUGUGUGCAGCUGCCACAAUGGGGUAAACCUCGAACAGAGUGGAGGUCUCCCUGAAGGUUGUCAAGGACUCUCUGUAGGCCAUGAGUCUCUGAACCAAAGAUUUAGAAAAAUAGCAGCAAACCCCGAACGGGCUGUGUAACGGAU